rnacentral:lncRNA from 1 species
AAAAUUAGCCAGCUGUUCCUAGUUAUCCCCAACCUGGUUGACUGUCUAAUUGCUUUGACUUUGGCACGUUGUGAAUUGACUAGUAUGGCCUUUAUUCUCUUCUUUUUAUGGGUGUAGGCGUCGAUCUUGGACAGACGCUACUGCGUAGCUCUGGGAGUUGACUAUCUUACCCCCCCUUCUCUCUCUCUCUCUCUCUCUCUCUUAUUCAGAGUCAACGCCGAAUUCAUGGACGCGAGAAUCUUGGGCGUGUAUGGUCUUCCGUGGAAUCUCUUAUAAAAUUGGCCCAAGAAAAAGCCAGCUUUUUUCGGGCCGGGCCCGCUAAAGAUGGCAAGCCCGGUCGUGUUUGGCGGACGAAGAGGUUGACCACCCCCGGAAGAAGCAUCUGGGAAGGGUCAAUAUGGCGGCACGUUUCAUGGGGCCCACCUUCCAGCUGCACACCAGAACGUUUCCCCUGCUGCGUCUGAUCCCUUUGACUUCUGAGAUCUGGUUGCCGUAAAUGGGGCCCACUUUUGUCGUUUUCCCUGACACCUGCAGAUCUUCUGUCUCCAAGCGCAUGCAAGCGUGCCCUGUGUUACGCACCAACUUUCAAUCCAUUGCCGUAUCUUCCUAACUCUCUCUCUCUCUCUCUCUCUCUU